rnacentral:rRNA from 1 species
GACGAACGCUGGCGGCGUGCUUAACACAUGCAAGUCGAACGGAAAGGCCCUGCUUUUGUGGGGUGCUCGAGUGGCGAACGGGUGAGUAACACGUGAGUAACCUGCCCUUGACUUUGGGAUAACUUCAGGAAACUGGGGCUAAUACCGGAUAGGAGCUCCUGCUGCAUGGUGGGGGUUGGAAAGUUUCGGCGGUUGGGGAUGGACUCGCGGCUUAUCAGCUUGUUGGUGGGGUAGUGGCUUACCAAGGCUUUGACGGGUAGCCGGCCUGAGAGGGUGACCGGACACCUGGCAGGGCGGCUGCGUGCACGAGCCGGGAGGGAGGCAGGAGGGGGGACGAGAGAAGAGGGGCGGGACGGCGAGGGCGGCGGCGCGGUGGGGGGGGGGGCGGCGUUCGGGGUGACGACCGCGUUGUCUGGGGGGUAGGUGGGGGUGACGAUAGUGGGAAAAGAAGGACUGGCGAACUACGCGGCAGCGGCCGGGGUACAAGAGGAAGAGCACACGUUUGAAC